CGGGAUAGCUCAGCUGGUAGAGCAAAGG
rnacentral:tRNA from 1 species